GACGAACGCUGGCGGCGUGCUUAACACAUGCAAGUCGAACGGAAAGGCCCUGCUUUUGUUGGUUUCUCGAUUGGCGAACGGGUGAGUAACACGUGAGUAACCUGCCCUUGACUUUGGGAUAACUUCAGGAAACUGGGGCUAAUACCGGAUAUGAGCUCCUGCUGCAUGUUGGGGUUUAGAAAGUUUCGGCGGUUGGGGAUGGACUCGCGGCUUAUCAGCUUGUUGGUGGGGUAGUGGCUUACCACGGCUUUGACGGGUAGCUGGCCUGAGAGGGUGACCGGCGACAUUGGGACUGAGAUACGGCCCAGAAUCCUACGGGAGGCAGCAGUGGGGAAUAUUGCACAAUGGGCGGAAGCCUGAUGCAGCAACGCUGCGUGCGGGAUGACGGCUUUCGGGUUGUAAACCGCUUUCGCCUGAGACGAAGCGUGAGUGACGGUAAUGGGUAAAGAAGCACCGGCUAACUACGUG
rnacentral:rRNA from 1 species